GCACCUGUAGUGUAGGGGAAACACGGGACCUUGCCAUCUGCCAGCACAAAAGCUCCAAACCCAGGUUCGAAUCCAGGCUGGUCCA